GUAACGCGUAUGCAACCUGCCCUUUACUGGGGAAUAGCCUCUCGAAAGAGAGAUUAAUACCCCAUAAUAUAUAAGAUAGGCAUCUAUCAGAUAUUAAAGCUACGGCGGUAAAGGACGGGCAUGCGGCUGAUUAGGUAGUUGGUGAGGUAAUGGCUCACCAAGCCAACGAUCAGUAGGGGGUCUGAGAGGAUGUCCCCCCACACUGGUACUGAGACACGGACCAGACUCCUACGGGAGGCAGCAGUAGGGAAUAUUGGACAAUGGGGGCAACCCUGAUCCAGCCAUGCCGCGUGCAGGAUGAAGGCCCUAUGGGUCGUAAACUGCUUUUGUACGGGAAGAAACCUCACUACGUGUAGUGAGUUGACGGUACCGUGAGAAUAAGGAUCGGCUAACUUCGUGCCAGCAGCCGCGGUAAUACGAAGGAUCCAAGCGUUGUCCGGAUUUACUGGGUUUAAAGGGUGCGUAGGCGGACUUUUAAGUCAGUGGUGAAAGCCUGUAGCUUAACUAUAGAAUUGCCAUUGAAACUGAAAGUCUCGAGUGUGGUUGAGGUAACUGGAAUAUAUCAUGUAGCGGUGAAAUGCUUAGAUAUGAUAUAGAACACCAAUUGCGAAGGCAGGUUACUGAGCCAUUACUGACGCUGAGGCACGAAAGCGUGGGGAUCAAACAGGAUUAGAUACCCUGGUAGUCCACGCCGUAAACGUUGCAUACUCGAUCUUAGCGAUACACAGUUAGGAUCCAAGCGAAAGCGUUAAGUAUGCCACCUGGGAAGUACGUUCGCAAGAAUGAAACUCAAAGGAAUUGACGGGGGCCCGCACAAGCGGAGGAGCAUGUGGUUUAAUUCGAUGA
rnacentral:rRNA from 1 species